rnacentral:ncRNA from 1 species
ACAAUGAUACUUCUGCACAGUCACAGUUCGAGCGUCAAGAGCGUCGCAGGCAAUGAGUGCAGCCCGUGCGGAGCAGGGAAGGUGAGAUUCCUAUGA